AUACUUACCAGGCAGGGAAGAUACCAUAAUCACAAAGGUGGUUUUCCCAGGGCAAGGCUUAUCCAUUGCCCUCUGGAUGUACUGACCCCUGCGAUUUCCCCAAAUGUGGGAAGCUCGACUGCAUAAUUUGUGGUAGUGGGGGACUGUGUUCACACUCUCCCCUG